rnacentral:tRNA from 1 species
GGGAGCGGAUGGCGGCUGGUGUCGCCAGCGGUCUUCAAAACCGUCUGGCCGUCCGAACAGGGCGGCUGGUGGGUUCGAUUCCCACCCGUUCCCGCCA